GACAGAGGGUGCAAGCGUUAUCCGGAUUCACUGGGUUUAAAAGGGUGCGUAGGCGGGCAGGUAAGUCCGUGGUGAAAUCUCUGAGCUUAACUCAGAAACUGCCAUGGAUACUAUUUGUCUUGAAUAUUGUGGAGGUAAGCGGAAUAUGUCAUGUAGCGGUGAAAUGCUUAGAUAUGACAUAGAACACCAAUUGCGAAGGCAGCUUACUACACAGUUAUUGACGCUGAGGCACGAAAGCGUGGGGAUCAAACAGG
rnacentral:rRNA from 1 species